rnacentral:rRNA from 1 species
GAUGAACGCUGGCGGCGUGCUUAACACAUGCAAGUCGAACGAAGCAUUCCAUUUGAAAGUGAACCAGCUUGCUGGGGAACAAUCUCCCGGAAUGACUUAGUGGCGGACGGGUGAGUAACGCGUGGGUAACCUGCCUUAUACAGGGGGAUAACAGUUAGAAAUGACUGCUAAUACCGCAUAACCCGAUAGUACCGCAUGGUACAGUCGGAAAAGAUUUUAUCGGUAUAAGAUGGACCCGCGUCUGAUUAGCUAGUUGGUGGGGUAACGGCCCACCAAGGCGACGAUCAGUAGCCGACUUGAGAGAGUGAUCGGCCACAUUGGGACUGAGACACGGCCCAAACUCCUACGGGAGGCUGCAGUGGGGAAUAUUGCACAAUGGGCGCAAGCCUGAUGCAGCGACGCCGCGUGAGCGAUGAAGUAUCUCGGUAUGUAAAGCUCUAUCAGCAGGGAAGAUAAUGACGGUACCUGACUAAGAAGCACCGGCUAAAUACGUGCCAGCAGCCGCAGUAA